GUGGGAGGGGGCUUGCCCCCGAUAGCAAUGGACCAGUCAGCCUAUGUACUGACUGACAUGCCGCUAUCGGGGGCAAGCCCCCUCCCAC
rnacentral:misc_RNA from 1 species